UACAGUAGUCUCAAGCGUUGUUCGGAUUCAUUGGGCGUAAAGGGUGCGUAGGUGGCGCUGUAAGUCGGGUGUGAAAUUUCGGAGCUUAACUCCGAAACUGCAUUCGAUACUGCGGUGCUUGAGGACUGGAGAGGAGACUGGAAUUCAUGGUGUAGCAGUGAAAUGCGUAGAGAUCAUGAGGAAGACCAGUGGCGAAGGCGGGUCUCUGGACAGUUCCUGACACUGAGGCACGAAGGCCAGGGGAGCAAACGGG
rnacentral:rRNA from 1 species